rnacentral:rRNA from 1 species
GGUGACUGGGGUGAAGUCGUAACAAGGUAGCAGUAGGGGAAUCUGCAGCUGGAUUACCUCCUUA